GACUAAUAAUAAUAAUAAUAAUAAUAAUAAUAAUAACAAUAAUAAUAAUAAUAAUAAGCCUGCUUAUUCAAUUCCAUCUCCAUAACCCCCUGAGGAGACAUGAGGAAGGAACCUGGAGAGGAACCAGACUUCACACCCAUCCUCUUCAGGGUGAUCUGCACAUCUCCAUACAAGCAGGCUGUAUCAGGGAUAGAAUCAUUACAAAUAAUUAUAAAUAAAGUAGCUUACAUGCUAUAGGUUCAUACGUAACUGCACGCAGGUGAAAAUCACUAAAUGGUCAAAAGUAUGUGCACCCCUGACCAUCACACCUAUAUGUGCUUCUUCUCCAAACUGUUACCACAAAGUUUAAACCACACAGUUGUAUAGAACGUCUCUGUGUGCUGUAGCUUUACAGCUUCACUGGAACUAAGAGACUGAAACCUGUUCCAGCAUGACAAUGCCCCUGUGCACAAAGCGAGCUCCAUGAAGACAUGGUGUGUGAAGGUGGAACACCGACUGCUUCUGCUUUCACACUUUCACACUCACUCCUAUUACCUGCUCAUUUUCUCGCCGCUCUAUCGCCUCUGUCAUUUUAAUAAUUUUACACAAACGCAUGUAAAAUAAUAUAUUUGAGACAAAAAAAAUGGCAUUUUGUUUUUGCAUUAUCAGUUCAUGCUAGCUAAAUAACACUCACUCAGUUUCGCUCCAACCCACUGACCACAGCAACGCAUGAUGAUAACACAGCUGUUAAAGACCGCUCGCACUGCUGACAUGCGAUAGAUAAACACUAUGAUAAACGCACCUUAUAUAUAUACAUACACACACACACACACACACACACACACACACACACACACACACACACAUUAUUAGGAAGAAAAAUAAAGCUGGGAAGGAAGUAGCAGAGAUCGUCGCUGUUUGUAGCUAGCUCUGCUAAUAGCUAAUACAAAACAUGUAACUCAAACAAUCAGUUUUCACACUCAUUAGUGUGUUAUAGUUAAUCUGUGUUUAACUAGUUAUGUAGAGUUAUAUGGUGAGGGCCUCUGGUGAGUGUAUGGAGCUAGUACAGUUAGCUCACACUGCUAAUCUGCUAACAAGGUUCAUACAAAGCCUGGCACCUAUCACACAUCAAACAAACAAUUUUCUCACUUUGUUCACUUUAUUAAAAUAGUUGAAUUCAUUUAAACACUUUUUAAAGACAAAUAAAUCGUAUGGUGUAGUAAACAGUGUGCUGUAGGCUACAUUUUGGCGAUUAUCUAAUAAGAGCUAAAAAUGCUGGACGGAUGCUACACACCCACAAGAGACAAACUACUGGCGACACGGGAGACUUGUCACUCGCUUUUUGGUUAAAACUGUUCUGUUUACUGUGUUUGUUAUUCAGAGGAAACACAGUAUGAAGCCAGUGGAGCAUUACAGGCUUGAAAUGAAUCACAUUUUGUAAUGGCAGUUCUGCUCGGCCCCAGUCGCUGUGCUCUCUGGUUCACGUCUCCCUCUUUACUGACGUGAUCGCUGCAAAACUGAGCCGUUUGGAGCAAACUGAGCAAACGGACAGAGCUGUAGACCUGCAGCAAUGCCGUGAGUUCUGGAGAUUAGAAAUAACAAUAAGGAAAUAAUAAAAUCCUGGAAGCGAAGCACAAGUGAUCUUAAACUGGUUAUUUAUUGCACACCAGCCCUGUGUUCUUCACGCUCAGGUGAUUUAUGAUUUCUCUGCAUACUUUUUGGCAAAUGUUUUUCCCUUUUUUAUGUUGCUGUAAUUCUGACCAACGAGGGAAAGAGUUUUAUGAGGACACUUUCAGCUUUACAUGCUCCUCUACCAACAUUUUUAAAGUAAACCUAAUGGUACAGAACCAGCACCUAAACACAAACACAAACCUGUCUCAAUGAACUGUCUCGAGUACCACGAGAUUAAUCUCCAGAUUACAAUCACCACAGUCAUCUUCACCUGUACCGUCACUGGGCCAGUGUAUAAACAACAGCAAACAGCAGCUGAAGACGGAGUCGUCUUCUUCCUGAUCAGUAACAGACUGUACAGUUGCUCAAGGGCAUCCUGGGUUCCUUCUGGGAAUUCUACAUUUUGUACCGUAGUCCAGAGAAUCCAUGUCACUUCACAGUUUAGUGCAUUUCUAUCAGACUAGUAAUCUGUCUUAAAGACAUGUUACAACCAACCGCAGUUAUUAAACAUCCCUCUGAAUCAGUGUGAAAGAGUUAAACUUAUAAGCUAUUAUUUGUAACAAUGGCAUUAGAUAAUUAGCUAAUAGCUAGUGGUUUAGUAUUACUUAGCUAACCGUAUGCUCAUAGGACAGAUAUUAGUUGUAGUAGCUGGCUAAAAGCAACCAGUACUAAAUUAGUUGACUAGCUAACUUAGCCAAAGCUGUGUAUUUGUAUUGGGCAGUAAAGUUAGUUGAACUAGAUAUCUAAUGAGUUAUAUACUCUUAGAUAUAUAUUCAAUAUUCUUAGAGUACUCUUAAAUACAAGAAUCAGUUUCUCCCUUCUCUCUCUUUCUCCCAGCUGCUGCAGUCGUCUCUGUUUGCUGUGAACCUUCUCCCUGUGCUCAUCGACCCGACUCGACCGGUACCGAGCGGAUCUGUGCUCCUGCGCUUUUCCUCGGAUCUAGUGGUUUUUUUUAAUGAUUUGUACUUUAUUGAUUUUCUUAUUUGCAGACAAAAGCGGUAUGAACAAUCGUACGUGACAUAUAAACAACCCACAAAAACAUACAUAAAACAAAACAUUAGUCACUAAAUGGUAACAACAUAAAAGGUGAGUAAAUACAACAGUAUAAAGUAAAAAAAAAUAAAUUAAAAAAAAAAAGCACCAGGGUAUCUACACCACAAGUUUCCACUAUGAGCUAAAUAAAAUUCACCAUGACCAUUAUUUUGUCUCGCCGCAUGUUACUACUGCUAUGGAUUACAGAAAUUCAAAAAUUUCCCCCAUUUCUCAAAAUAAAUAUCAAUCCUCCCAUGCAAACUACAGGAGAGUUCGGCUCUAGUGUUUUGAAAUUUGGACUGAAUUUGAGGAACUGAAUUUGAAAGGGGUUCAAAUCCACCAAAAAAUGAAUCAGAAUGUUCUACACCUGAUUAUUAUAAAACUGAAUUUAUAACUUUGUGCUCAAAUUCAAGCCACAGAAUACAAUUACAAUUUCAUCGAAUCAUCUAACAACAAAACCUCCCUUAUGAAUACAGAUAAAGCCAUAAAAUUUCAGGUUUGUACAUUUUAAAUUCAGAUUGUAGUGGCACACUUCUCAUUCCAUACUCAUGUCGCCUUCAAACCUGCCGUAGGUUCUGAGUACCAGUCUUCUGGAUUAGUAAAUACUUCUGAAUGUAAGGACAAUGUUUUAGAUUUGAGACGCAGCUCAUGACAACAAUCACGAUGAUGGCAGAAGACUGUAAAGAGAAACAGAGCUAUCAGUGUGUUUAACUUCGCUGGGCAUGAAAUCACUAAUUUCUAUUUUAUUUUACAGUUUGACAUGGAAACCUGAUGGACAGGGAUGUCUUGAUUCUGAAAUUCCAUCUAGUAAGAGUCGCAUUUAAUCCUCCUGACGUACAUAAACUUCACAAGUAAGUGUGUGAACAAUGUCACUCACGUUGCUGCUGCUUCUGUAGUGAUGCAUCAAGUAUAAAGCAGCCUUAAGAUGUUAAAGCACUUACUUCAAACAAAAACAGGAUGUGUGUGGUCAGCUGUGAGGAGUCUGUGGGUUUGCUAAUGUAAGUCUAGCACAUUUAAAUAUUAAUCUAUCUUAUACCCAGUCAAAUGUGUGUUUAGCUAGCUAACAAUAUGCAAAUGUUAGCAUAGUCUAACUAGCUAGAACUUCACCUAAAUUGUUCCUCUGGGUAUAUACUAAUCAUCCAGUGCUUAACUUCUCAGAGGAAACUAGCUCUUUGAAUGGAAUAUAAAACUUUAGAUGCACUUACCUCUCAUUCUGGCUCAUUCUGUUUCUGGACUCUACUCCAUGUCUCUUCACUUCAUCAGGCAGACUUCCACUCCUCAACCCCGAGUUGACUGUCCCGAGUUUCCGAGUAGGAAUUCCGAGAUUUUGAAACACCAUCUCACAGCUCAUCCUUUGACAAAAACUGACAUCCAGAGGCUUUAAUGAUGCUCCACACUGUAGAUUCUCAAUGGGAUUCAAAUAAGUGAAGCUGACAGGAGUGGAGAAGGGAGAGGUGAGGUGGAGACCCUCCCUGGCUUACCGAGAUGGAGCUCACUGCAGCUGGAGCUCUCACACACACUCUGCUCACACUCAACAACACCAUAAAAGGAGCUCCAUAGAUUCUGGAGCUGGUGAUGACGUCACACACACACACACACACACACACACACACACACA